CUGCAGUCAAUGAGGGCUACUAGGUGCCUUUGCUGGUGGGUGCCCAGCAUACAGUGGCUGCGAACAGCAAUUCCUCAGUGGUGCACAGAGCCUAGAACUUGUAUGUACAGCCCAGGAGACAGGCUUGAAGGGGCUUAGGAGACAGUG
ensembl:snoRNA SNORA70 Small nucleolar RNA SNORA70